AGCGAACGCUGGCGGCAGGCCUAACACAUGCAAGUCGAACGAACCUUUCGGGGUUAGUGGCGGACGGGUGAGUAACACGUGGGAACGUGCCUUUAGGUUCGGAAUAACUCAGGGAAACUUGUGCUAAUACCGAAUGUGCCCUUCGGGGGAAAGAUUUAUCGCCUUUAGAGCGGCCCGCGUCUGAUUAGCUAGUUGGUUGAGGUAAUGGCUCACCAAGGCGACGAUCAGUAGCUGGUCUGAGAGGAUGAUCAGCCACAUUGGGACUGAGACACGGCCCAAACUCCUACGGGAGGCAGCAGUGGGGAAUCUUGCGCAAGGAGCGAAAGCCUGACGCAGCCAUGCCGCGUGAAUGAUGAAGGUCUUAGGAUUGUAAAAUUCUUUCACCGGGGACGAUAAUGACGGUACCCGGAGAAGAAGCCCCGGCUAACUUCGUG
rnacentral:rRNA from 1 species